CUGGUUGUCACCACAACACCCGUUCCCCACAACCAGACCACCUCUGCCCCUACUGAAGCUGGUGGUGGAGCAAGUGAAGAUGCUGUGGCUACUACCCCAGCACCUAAUCCACACAACCAGACAACUUCUGCACAAACUGAAGUUACUGAUGAAGCCAGUGAAGAUGCUGUGGACCGCCAAAGUGAUGUGGUUUCCACCACAACACCCAAUCCCCACAACCAGACCACAUCUGCCCCUACUGAAGCUGAUGGAGCAAGUGAAGAUGAUUCAGAUGAUGAUGAUGCUGCAAGUGAAGAUGAUGAUUCUGCAAAUGAAGAUGAUGAUGCUGCAAGUGAAGAUGCUGUGGCUACCACCCCAACACCAAAUCCCCCAACUACAUCUCACCACACUGCAGCUACCGAUGAUGCAAGUGAGGGUGCUGUGGCUGCCUAAACUGGAACUACUGUAUCCCAUACGACUGAAGUCUGAUUCGACUGCUCCUCUGGUCACAAUAACCUGUCUGGACUUUUUGCCUCUACAUGUUGACUGCAAUAAAGGACAGAUUUUGUAUUUUUUUUAAUCAAAUGUUGUCUUGCCUUUUUCAAAUUGAGGCCUUGUCCUGUUUUGGUAGUGGAGAUGACUAUGAAGCCUCUUUUCUAACGUAUUUCCUGUAGUGGUUUUACUAUAUGCUUCAUGCAACAAGGCCUUCAACGACUCUACAAUUUAAAAGCAUCUAGUUGUCUGAAUUUGUAAAAUGGUUGAACUGGUAGUGAUGCACUAUAAUGGUGAACUGCUUGUGGCAUUUCAAUAAUCUCUACUGUACUGUUUGACAUGUACAUCUCAAGUGAAUUUGCGUGGUAAUUGGUAAACUGAUGUCCGUCCCUACUAAGGGAGUACUGGCCUUAGUAGGCUAACGCCCUCAAUGUAACGGCUAUAUAAAUGGCAUACAGUGUAUGUACUUAACUUUUUAACACAGCGCUGAAUAUACCAUUACAUACUUGUGGUAUCUAUUUGUGGAAGCCUACCUUUACUAUAUCACAACUAGUUUGCUCUGCAUUAUAUAUUAGCAAAUCUGCUGUAAGUAAGGAAAAAUGAA
ensembl:lncRNA